AUGCCGCCGUCGAGAUCUAGAAAACGCACUUCGGCGCCGCCGACCACGACUGCGCGCACAAGGAGGUGCCGCCGGCCUGCGGCGGUGCCAUUGGAUGAUGUCGCUGGCGCAGUGGCGCCCCCGUUUUCUUCCCCCCUCUGGGCGUCGCUUUCAGAGGAUUUGGUUUGCGCGAUAGCCUGGAGAGUGCUCUCGGGCGAUAUUCUGGACUACGUGCGCUUCCGCGCCGUUUGCACCAGCUGGCGGUCUGGCACCGUCUGCCCGUGUGGCCGCGGCGCCGCCGAUCCGCGCUUCCACCCGUGCCGCUGGAUGAUGCUGCCGGAGGGCCAUGGCCUCUACCCCGGCCACAGCAGGCUGCGCGGCUACGUCCGCUUCUUCAACCUUGACACGGGAACCUUUGUCCGUGUCAAGCUCCCGCUGUUCAACAGCCACUGCGCUCUUGACUCGGUCGACGACCUCCUCCUCCUCCAGAGGGACGAGGACACCGGCAUCCGCCUCGUCCACCCGUUCACCGGCGACAUCGCUGAGCUCCCACCACUCGCCACCCUGCUCGCGCAGCUAAAGAACGACCCCUCGGUCCCUCGUGGUUCUGAUCCUUACUGGUGGUGGUCCUUAAUCAGAUACUGCGUCUGUGCUACCGUGUCCUGCAGCGCCGGAGCCAUCACCGUGAUGCUUGUGUUCCAUCAUCUGCGACGUGUAGCCUUUGCUACCUCCGAGGACCGGCAAUGGGCAAUGCCAAGCUGGGAAAUCCCAGUAAACAUCGCACCCUUGUCGCUCCAAGGCAAGCUAUACUUGGUGCAAUUUCCUUGCGCUAAUGGCUCGCUGGUCUUCCAGAUGGAGGUUGGUUCGCCGCCGCUGCCGCCAAAGAUGAUUGCCACAUGCCCAGCAGAUAAGCUCUACGGCGGCUACCACCUUGUAGAAUGCAACUCGCAGAUCCUGCUUGCCGGGUAUACCGACAGCUCCAUGUCUCACAUUUCGAUCUACAAGCUCGAGGACCUCAUCUUGGAGAGGUUUGUCCCGGUAACAAGCAUCGGAGACCGAGCCCUCUUCCUUGAAGAUCGGAGCCUGAGCUUCUCCUCCAAGGCACUGCCAACCAUCAUCGCUGAGACAGUUGUGUAUACAUGUCCACUCAACCGUUGUUUUGCGCAAUACCGUCUCACUACCGGUGCUUGGUCUCAGCCAUUCGAUGGAUAUAGCGACGGCUUCAACCCAGGUCCUUAUAGCCUCAUCCAACAUGUCAUUAGCUGCUGCAUUCGCAAUGUUUGGAACAAAGGGCUGGUAUAUUCUGAAAAGGAAACCGAAAAACCCGGAUGGCUUUGUUGGAAGGUGAAGAGAAAGCUUCGCAUUUGGGCGUGA
rnacentral:rRNA from 1 species